rnacentral:lncRNA from 1 species
GCAGAGUCCACAGCAGCCCAGAGCGCGCUCUCCACGAGGUCUCAUGCCCAGUGCCCAACAUGUAUGCAUUGGUAGCCAUACAGACACUUGUAUGUGCGGUAAGACCACAGUUUCCAACAAUAUAAACGUGCUCACUAGCACUGAACAAUCUAACUACAGAUGGGUGUGUACCAGGAUGCCAUUGCAACAGUGUCUAUGUUGGGCUCAGCACUGAACUAAGGGUCAAGACACAAAAUGUCAGAUGUCCCAGGAUUUGUCCUCAGAACUCCUGGCCUGG